rnacentral:rRNA from 1 species
GACGAACGCUGGCGGCGUGCUUAACACAUGCAAGUCGAACGGAAAGGCCCCUUUUGGGGUACUCGAGUGGCGAACGGGUGAGUAACACGUGAGUAACCUUCCCUUGACUUCGGGAUAACUUCAGGAAACUGGGGCUAAUACCGGCUAGGAAUCCUUGCUGCAUGGUGGGGGUUGGAAAGCUUCGGCGGUUUUGGAUGGACUUGCGGCUUAUCAGCUUGUUGGUGGGGUAGUGGCUUACCAAGGCUUUGACGGGUAGCCGGCCUGAGAGGGCGACCGGCCACAUUGGGACUGAGAGACGGCCCAGACGCCUACGGGAGGCAGCAGGGGGGAAUAUUGCACAAUGGGCGGAAGCCUGAUGCAGCAACGCCGCGUGCGGGAUGACGGCCUUCGGGUUGAAAACCGCUUUCAGCAGGGGCGAAGCUUGUGGUGACGGUACCUGCAGAAGAAGCACCGGCUAACUACGUG